rnacentral:tRNA from 2 species
AAGCGUGCAGCUAUGUGGCCUUAGUUUUGCAAAAACUAGUGAGGAUUAUUUUCCCACGCUUU